UAUGACAAAACAAUGGAAAGGUAUGCUUUGAAUGUAAGAUACUUCAUACAUUUCUGUAUUUUCAAUCUCUCCUUUAAGACUGUUCAUAUGUGUGACAAACUUUUCAUAGCAAAACAUUUCAAAGUUAGAGAAGUUUGUCAU
rnacentral:miRNA from 1 species